CGGAGGGUGCAAGCGUUAUCCGGAUUCACUGGGUUUAAAGGGUGCGUAGGAGGGCAGGUAAGUCAGUGGUGAAAUCUCCGGGCUUAACUCGGAAACUGCCGUUGAUACUAUCUGCCUUGAAUACCGUGGAGGUGAGCGGAAUAUGUCAUGUAGCGGUGAAAUGCUUAGAUAUGACAUAGAACACCAAUUGCGAAGGCAGCUCGCUACACGAAUAUUGACUCUGAGGCACGAAAGCGUGGGGAUCAAACAGGAUCAGAUACCCUGGUAGUCCACGCCCUAAACGAUGGAUACUCGACAUACGCGAUACACAGUGUGUGUCUGAGCGAAAGCAUUAAGUAUCCCACCUGGGAAGUACGACCGCAAGGUUG
rnacentral:rRNA from 1 species